UACUCUGUGAAAUGAUUUCUGAACUAUGAAAAUUUGUCUUUCAGACUCAUCAUCCUAGAGCAUUGAGACUGGAUAGAUUGCUUUGUUGGAAGAGCCACCCCAUCUUCGCCAGAGUGGUGUAGAACUGAGCCCCACUGCAGGCAGGCUGCUCUCCUGCUCAAAUGUCUUCAGGAUUCCUGUCAUCUUUUCUUCCGUGGAAAACCACCAUGGCCAUUCUAAUCUUCUCUGGGGUCAGUGGACUAUUGAGCUUCAAAGGUCCAAACAGUCCUCUCUCCUGUCGUGCUGCACUUACCGCGUCCUGGAUGGCGAAAAACACCGAACACCCCAGGAAUACCCCAGACUCUCCCAGACCCUGGAAGGGAAACAAGUCAACUAGAUUAUGACUCUCUCUUUCUCUCUCUGUAUAUAUAUACAUAUGUAUGUGUAUUAUGUAUAUGUGCAUCUAUAGGUACAUAUGUGCAUGUACGGGUACAUAAAAUAUUAAAUAUUACAUGUACAACUUUUUCCUUUAAAAAGCUAAGUCACUAUUUUAACCCAGUAAUCCCAUUCUUAGGAUUCCAGCCUAAGGAAAUGAUCCCAAAUGGAGAAAGCAGAUAUAGUCAUGAAGAUGAUUGCUGGCACGAAGAUGAAAAAUCAGACAACCUGAUGGUAAUAGUAGUUUGUGGGGCUUCCCUGGUGGCGCAGUGGUUGAGAAUCUGCCUGCCAAUGCAGGGGACACGGGUUCGAGCCCUGGUCUGGGAAGAUCCCACAUGCCACGGAGCAACUGGGCCCGUGAGCCACAAUUACUGAGCCUGCGCGUCUGGAGCCUGUGCUCCACAAUAAGAGAGGCCGCGAUGGUGAGAGGCCCGCGCACCGCGAUGAAGAGUGGUCCCCACUUGCCGCAACUAGAGAAAGCCCUCGCACAGAAACGAAGACUCAACACAGUCAUAAAUAAAUAAAUAAAUAAAUAAAAGAACGCGAAUUUCUUUAAAAAAAAA